rnacentral:rRNA from 1 species
GCUAGUAAUGGCAGGUCAGCAUACUGCCGUGAAUACGUUCCCGGGCCUUGUACACACCGCCCGUCACACCAUGAGAGUUGGGGAUACCCAAAGCCCGUGAGCCAACUUUUAGAGGCAGCGGUCUAAGGUAGAAUCAAUGAUUGGGGUGAAGUCGUAACAAGGUAAC